AUGAAAAUUUUGAAAUUGUUACAAAAUGGUUCAGAUUUUAUGGUAGAUGAUAAUGAUCCAUUAUUGGCACUUCCCAAUCUCCGCAGGAUCAACCUAUCUGGUAAUUACAUUGUUGGUGACCAAUUUGUUAACUUUCUCCGCCAAUGCAAGCUUCUUGAGUCGUCGUACUCAAGGACCGGAUUAUACGCAAAUUUAGGAAUUCCAAAUAUGAUAGGAGUGAUAUAA